rnacentral:sRNA from 1 species
AGAAAUUUCUUACAUAUAAUAUAUUAGAUAUAUAUAUAUUUUAUAUUUAUACAAUUACUAAUUUAUAAUAUUGAUGGGAUCAUAUAUUUACAUAGGAUUUUCAAAAAAAUUAUUAUUUUAUUAAUUUAUCAAUUUGUGUCACUUUUUACAGUCCCAACUCGGGACUGGAAAAAAUUAUUAAUCUUAUAUAGAUUAUUAAUUUAUCGAGUAUUAAUUUAUAGAGGUUUUACUAUUACAAUAAACUUGAAAACUUAUUUAGACUAGACUCCUUAACUCUUCUCCUCUUCAACUCAUUCAUCAGUUUUUGUAACAAAUCUCUGAAACUGUACAAACCAGACACGGAUUCUUUGUCUGAGAAUUCAGGCACAAUUAAGAAGUCCUAAGCCCUGUUUGAAGAUUCUCAAAAGUCUUUAACCAAAUACAGCAAAAAAUGUUUAGAGAAAGAUCAAACCACAAUCAAAAGUUUGUAAACCGAAAUAGCAACAAAAGUCUAGAGAAAGAUGAAACAACACACAUAGAACCAUGUCUUGUGGAUGUAAGAAAGAUUCACUUACCCUCUGUAGCAAAGUGAUGUCUUUCUCAAUGGUAACUUUCACUCUCGGCUUGAUAGCUUUAAUCGCUCUCUCCUCGUAUUUGGCGAGUCCCUGAAGAUCUGAAUCUAUCACUUCCUCAAUUCUCUUCUUCCCAAUCUUUGUCCUCGUAGCAAAAUAAGGGAGCUCGGUGACCGAAGAGGCCACAAAAGCAAAAUCGAAGACGUCAUCAUCUCCGUCCAGAGCACGAAUGAGUGACUUUAGAAACGAUAUCAUAGCGUAUGCUGAAGUGAAAGAUCGGGAAGCCUAGAUCGGAGAUAACUCGAAAUGUUAAGUCCCGCGAAAGAGGAAGAGAAAAAAAGAAUUCACGGAAGAAAAAAAACUUAAAACGGAGGACAAAGACGAGAAGGAAGGUGAUUAUCAUCCGAUUCACUUCCAACCCGACGAUUGAACACUCCAAGUUAAACGAGAAAGAAGGACUCACGGUCCGAGUUUCUAAGGAACAUCCGAAUUUCUUUCAACUCUCGGUCAUACUUCGCAAAAGGUAAUCGGAUUUUAUGACCCGCAUGUGAGCUAAGCUUUAGCGGGUUAGACCGAGUUAAGAGACAUAGAGAAUCCGAGAGGAAGUACCCCGAGAAAAGAAGAACCAAGAAAAAACUUGAUCCGAGAAAGGAGUUGUCGUUAGGUGGUUAGAUAUAAUC